rnacentral:rRNA from 1 species
GGUUGCGAUCAUACCAGCACUAAUGCACCGGAUCCCAUCAGAAAUCCGCAGUUAAGCGUGCUUGGCGAGAGUAGUACUAGGAUGGGUGACCCCCUGGGAAGUCCUCGUGUUGCAACCC